rnacentral:lncRNA from 1 species
AAUAUGCUCCGCACCCUCAGCCUGUUCUCACUCCUCCGCGGCGCAGCAGGUAAACAUGGCUGCUCUUCUUAAAUCUGUCUUUCGUCAUUUUUAUAGUUAAAUUUAUUGACAUUUAGCUGUGACAGCAGCUGUUUACAUGCACAUUCUUACUUUAUUCUUCUAAAUAUGUGCUUUAUUUGUCGUUUCAAUGUUGACUAGAUUGAAAUCAUGUAAAGUAGCAGAGUAGGCCUCAGCCACGUGCCUCAUUGCUCGUGCUUGGAUGCUAAUUAGCAUUUUGAACCAUUAGGUCGCCUCGCUGCAGCAAUCCCAUGCAUAUAUGAUGAUACACAUGUUGGUAGGGACAUCUGAAUAUAGUGAAGAAUGCCAACUGUUCUGACUAGAUGGGACUAGGCUUAAUAAUAAUUUGAGUUAGCUGCACACGUGCUACGUGUACAGUGUUAUAUUACAAACUAAAUUUAAGUUGCAUCGUUUUAACUCUUUAUAAUGUACUUUUCUCUUAAAGGCUUUUAACUUAAGUACUUCCAUUUUUUCUUCAGGUUGAAAAAGAUGAAAAGAACCAACAGGAAACAGAAAGAUCCGCAGGAGGAAACACGGACACAAGAAUGAAAACUAAAAGACUAAAGUCUCUCCUCCGCGGAGCAGCAGGUUUAACAAGAUGUUUCUAGACUGGGAACCACCUCAGAAUGCAAUGCUCGUCUCAAGGAAUGUCCAGAGACAUGAAGCAACUGGUGGAAAUGAGGUAAGGAUCCAUUUCACUGACUCAAAAUGGAGUUAAGAUGGAUUUAUGCUUCUAUGAAGUGUCACCUGAUUUGACAUUAGAUUUCACUGGAUGGAUUUGCAAAUGACUUAGUCAAUAUACAUUUUGUUAUGCACGUCAUUGUCGACAUGCUGCACUUUAGCGUUUGGCCUUUCAUGC